rnacentral:rRNA from 1 species
UAGACCCGAAACCCGGUGAUCUAGCCAUGGGCAGGUUGAAGGUUGGGUAACACUAACUGGAGGACCGAACCGACUAAUGUUGAAAAAUUAGCGGAUGACCUGUGGCUGGGGGUGAAAGGCCAAUCAAACCGGGAGAUAGCUGGUUCUCCCCGAAAGCUAUUUAGGUAGCGCCUCGUGAAUUCAUCUCCGGGGGUAGAGCACUGUUUCGGCUAGGGGGCCAUCCCGGCUUACCAACCCGAUGCAAACUGCGAAUACCGGAGAAUGUUAUCACGGGAGACACACGGCGGGUGCUAACGUCCGUCGUGAAGAGGGAAACAACCCAGACCGCCAGCUAAGGUCCCAAAGUCAUGGUUAAGUGGGAAACGAUGUGGGAAGGCCCAGACAGCCAGGAUGUUGGCUUAGAAGCAGCCAUCAUUUAAAGAAAGCGUAAUAGCUCACUGGUCGAGUCGGCCUGCGCGGAAGAUGUAACGGGGCUAAACCAUGCACCGAAGCUGCGGCAGCGAACGUAUCACCCAAGACAACUUUACGGAGUUGACGAUUGACGGAGCGAAGCGACGUCAAAGCGUUCAUUAAAGUCGAGUUGGCUUAGGGAUACGUUCGUUGGGUAGGGGAGCGUUCUGUAAGCCUGUGAAGGUGUGUCGUGAGGCAUGCUGGAGGUAUCAGAAGUGCGAAUGCUGACAUAAGUAACGAUAAAGCGGGUGAAAAGCCCGCUCGCCGGAAGACCAAGGGUUCCUGUCCAACGUUAAUCGGGGCAGGGUGAGUCGACCCCUAAGGCGAGGCCGAAAGGCGUAGUCGAUGGGAAACGGGUUAAUAUUCCCGUACUUGGUGUUACUGCGAAGGGGGGACGGAGAAGGCUAUGUUGGCCGGGCGACGGUUGUCCCGGUUUAAGCGUGUAGGUGUGUGUUCCAGGUAAAUCCGGUUCACUUUAACACUGAGGCGUGACGACGAGGCACUACGGUGCUGAAGCAACAAAUGCCCUGCUUCCAGGAAAA